rnacentral:rRNA from 1 species
AACGAACGCUGGCGGCGUGCCUAAUACAUGCAAGUCGAACGUUAAGUGUAGCAAUACACUGAAAGUGGCGAACGGGUGAGUAACACGUAAGUAAUCUGCCUUUAAGAUUGGGAUAACCUUGCCAACGCGGGGCUAAUACCGGAUGUGGUUGACAUGACGCAUGUUGUGUUAAUUAAAGGAGUGAUCCGCUUAAAGAUGAACUUGCGGCCCAUUAGUUAGUUGGCGGGGUAAUGGCCCACCAAGACCGCGAUGGGUAGCCGGCCUGAGAGGGUGAACGGCCACAUUGGGACUGAGAUACGGCCCAGACUCCUACGGGAGGCAGCAGUAGGGAAUUUUGCGCAAUGGACGAAAGUCUGACGCAGCAACGCCGCGUGAGGGAUGAAGGUCUUCGGAUUGUAAACCUCUGUUGAAUGGGAAAAAAAGUAGCAAUAUUUGAUGGUACCAUUUGAGGAAGCACCGGCUAACUACGUGCCAGCAGCCGCGGUAAUACGUAGGGUGCAAGCGUUGUUCGGAAUCACUGGGCGUAAAGAGAGCGUAGGCGGGAUUGUAAGUUAGAAGUUUAAUACAAGGGCUCAACCCUUGAGCGGCUUUUAAUACUGCAGUUCUUGAAUGUGGGAGAGGGCGAUGGAAUUCCAGGUGUAGCGGUGGAAUGCGUAGAUAUCUGGAAGAACACCAGUAGCGAAGGCGGUCGCCUGGCCUAACAUUGACGCUGAGGCUCGAAAGCUAGGGGAGCAAACAGGAUUAGAUACCCUGGUAGUCCUAGCCGUAAACGAUGAACACUAGUUGCCGGAGGAGUCAAUCUUUUUGGUGACGAAGCUAACGCAUUAAGUGUUCCGCCUGGGAAGUACGCUCGCAAGAGUGAAACUCAAAGGAAUUGACGGGGGCCCGCACAAGCGGUGGAGCAUGUGCUUUAAUUCGAUGCAACGCGAAGAACCUUACCUAGGCUUGACAUGGGAGUGAAAUCUUGUAGAAAUAUGAGACCUUCCGCAAGGAACACUCUACACAGGUGCUGCAUGGUUGUCGUCAGCUCGUGUCGUGAGAUGUUGGGUUAAGUCCCGCAACGAGCGCAACCCUCGCCCUUAGUUGCUAACAGGUUAUGCUGAGAACUCUAAGGGGACUGCCUAGUUUAACUAGGAGGAAGGUGGGGAUGACGUCAAAUCCUCAUGGCCCUUACGCCUAGGGCUAGACACGUGCUACAAUGGUCGGUACAACGGGAUGCGAAACAGUGAUGUCGAGCAAAUCCCAAAAAACCGAUCUCAGUUCGGAUUGGAGUCUGCAAUUCGACUCCAUGAAGCUGGAAUCGCUAGUAAUCGCGGAUCAGCAUGCCGCGGUGAAUACGUUCCCGGGCCUUGUACACACCGCCCGUCAAGCCAUGAAAGAUGGUAGUACCCGAAGCCGUCUGCUUAACCGCAAGGAGAGCGACGUCUAAGGUAAGGCCGUUGAUUGGGGCU